rnacentral:rRNA from 1 species
GGGGGGAGGCGGCAGCUUAUACUGCAAGUCGAACGAGAAAGCACCUUCAGGGUGCGAGUACAGUGGCGGACGGGUGAGCCUUUCGUAGGAAUCUACCUUCAGGUGGGGGACAACUCGGGGACCCUCGAGCUAAUACCGCAUGAUACCUAAGGGUCAAAGUGGGGGAUCUUCGGACCUCACGCCAGAAGAGGAGCCUGCGUUAGAUUAGCUUGUUGGUGGGGUAAUGGCCCACCAAGGCGACGAUCUAUAGCUGGUCUGAGAGGACGAUCAGCCACACUGGAACUGAGACACGGUCCAGACUUCUACGGAAGGCAGCAGUAGGGAAUCUUGGUCAAUGGGGGCAACCCUGAACCAGCGAUGCCGCGUGUGCGAAGAAGGCCCUAGGGUUGUAAAGCACUUUCAGUCGCGAAGAAAUGCUUCGAGUUAAUAGCUCGGAGUUUUGACGUUAACGACAGAAGAAGGUCCGGCUAACUCCGUGCCAGCAGCCGCGGUAAUACGGAGGGAUCGAACGUUAAUCGGAAUUACUGGGCGUAAAGCGCGCGUAGGCGGCUUGUUAAGUGGGAUGCGAAAGCCCCGGACUUAACCUGGGAACUGCAUUCCAAACUGGCAAGCUAGAGUAUGGUAGAGGGAGGUAGAAUUUCCUGUGUAGCGGUGAAAUGCGUAGAUAUAGGAAGGAAUACCGAUGGCGAAGGCAGCCUCCUGGACCAAUACUGACGCUGAGGUGCGAAAGCGUGGGGAGCAAACAGGAUUAAAUACCCUGGUAGUCCACGCCGUAAACGAUGAAAACUAGCCGGCGGGACCUUUGAGGUCUUGGUGGGGCACCUAACGCGAUAAGUUCUCCGCCUGGGGAGUACGGGCGCAAGGGUAAAACUCAAA